rnacentral:rRNA from 1 species
GACGAACGCUGGCGGCGUGCCUAAUACAUGCCAGUUGAGCGCUGAAGGUUGGUACUUGUACCAACUGGAUGAGCAGCGAACGGGUGAGUAACGCGUGGGGAAUCUGCCUUUGAGCGGGGGACAACAUUUGGAAACGAAUGCUAAUACCGCAUAAAAACUCUAAACACAAGUUUUAAGUUUGAAAGAUGCAAUUGCAUCACUCAAAGAUGAUCCCGCGUUGUAUUAGCUAGUUGGUGAGGUAAAGGCUCACCAAGGCGAUGAUACAUAGCCGACCUGAGAGGGUGAUCGGCCACAUUGGGACUGAGACACGGCCCAAACUCCUACGGGAGGCAGCAGUAGGGAAUCUUCGGCAAUGGGCGAAAGUCUGACCGAGCAACGCCGCGUGAGUGAAGAAGGUUUUCGGAUCGUAAAACUCUGUUGGUAGAGAAGAACGUUGGUGAGAGUGGAAAGCUCAUCAAGUGACGGAAACUACCCAGAAAGGGACGGCUAACUACGG